rnacentral:rRNA from 1 species
AGGAUGAACGCUGGCGGCGUGCCUAAUACAUGCAAGUCGAGCGGUAAGGCCCCUUCGGGGGUACACGAGCGGCGGACGGCUGAGUAACACGUAGGAACGUACCCCAAACUGAGGGAUAAGCACCAGAAAUGGUGUCUAAUACCGCAUGUGGUCUUCGGAUUAAAGCUUCGGCGGUUUGGGAACGGCCUGCGCAUGAUUAGCUUGUUGGUGAGGUAAAAGCUUACCAAGGCGACGAUCAUUAGCUGGUCUGAGAGGAUGAUCAGCCAGACUGGGACUGAGAACGGCCCAGACUCCGUACGGGAGGCAGCAGUAGGAUUUCCACAAUGGGC